rnacentral:rRNA from 1 species
UACGUAGGGUGCAGGCGUUAAUCGGAAUUACUGGGCGUAAAGCGUGCGCAGACGGUUUGCUAAGAGAGAUGUGAAAUCCCCGGGCUUAACCUGGGAACUGCGUUUCUAACUGGCAGGCUUGAGUGUGGCAGAGGGGGUGGAAUUCCACGUGUAGCAGUGAAAUGCGUAGAGAUGUGGAGGAACACCGAUGGCGAAGGCAGCCCCCUGGGCUAACACUGACGCUCAUGCACGAAAGCGUGGGGAGCAAACAGG